AACGAACGCUGGCGGCAGGCCUAACACAUGCAAGUCGAACGCCCCGCAAGGGGAGUGGCGCACGGGUGAGUAACGCGUGGGAAUAUGCCCUUCGGUUCGGAAUAACACAGGGAAACUUGUGCUAAUACCGGAUACGAUCUACGGAUGAAAGAUCUAUCGCCGAGGGAGUAGCCCGCGUAGGAUUAGCUAGUUGGUGAGGUAAUGGCUCACCAAGGCGACGAUCCCUAGCUGGUCUGAGAGGAUGAUCAGCCACACUGGGACUGAGACACGGCCCAGACUCCUACGGGAGGCAGCAGUGGGGAAUAUUGGACAAUGGGCGAAAGCCUGAUCCAGCCACGCCGCGUGAGUGAUGAAGGCCUUAGGGUUGUAAAGCUCUUUCGCCAGGGAAGAUAAUGACGGUACCUGGAAAAGAAGCCUCGGCUAACUCCGUGCCAGCAGCCGCAGUAA
rnacentral:rRNA from 1 species